UUCUGACCGUAAACGAUGCCAACUAGCGAUCCGGUCGGUACUCCGUGACCGGCCGGGGAGCUUCCCGGAAACGAAAGUCUUCCGGUUCUGGGGGAAGUAUGGUUGCAAAGCUGAAACUUAAAGGAAUUGACGGAAGGGCACCACCAGGAGUGGAGCCUGCGGCUUAAUUUGACUCAACACGGGAAACCUCACCCGGGCACGACACCGUAGUGAUUGACAGGUUUCAGACCUUUCAUGAUUCGGUGGAUGGUGGUGCAUGGCCGUUCUUAGUUCGUGGAGUGAUCUGUCUGGUUUAUUCCGAUAACGAGCGAGACUCCAGCCUGCUAGCUAGCACCCGGAUUUGAUGUCCGGAGGCUUCCUAGAGGGAUCUACGGCGCUAGCCGGAAGAGACGGAGCGAUAACAGGUCUGUGAUGCCCUUAGAUGUCCGGGGCUGCACGCGCGCUACACUGGCAGGACCAACGUGUCUCCUGCGCCGAGAGGCGCGGGUAAUCCGAUGAACACCUGCCGUGAUUGGGAUCGGAGAUUGCAAUUAUUCUCCGUGAACGAGGAAUUCCCAGUAAGUGCGAGUCAUCAACUCGCGCUG
rnacentral:rRNA from 1 species